rnacentral:tRNA from 1 species
CGGGCUUUGGCGAGGUGACGGUGCGGCGUGCCCCCUUGCGGCGCGACCGCGGCGCGGAAAUCGAGGGCUUCGUGGUUCUGUCGCGGCGCAAUCCGG